rnacentral:rRNA from 1 species
UCGAGAAUUUUUGACAAUGGGGGCAACCCUGAUCGAGCGACGCCGCGUGGAGGAUGAAGGUCUUCGGGUUGUAAACUCCUGUCAUUUGAGAACAAGGCGUGCGCGUUAACUGCGCGCACGUUGAUAGUAUCAGAAGAGGAAGGGACGGCUAACUCUGUGCCAGCAGCCGCGGUAAUACAGAGGUCCCAAGCGUUGUUCGGAUUCAUUGGGCGUAAAGGGUGUGUAGGUGGCGCCGUAAGUGGGGUGUGAAAUCUCGGGGCUUAACUCCGAAACUGCAUUCCAUACUGCGGUGCUUGAGGACUGGAGAGGAGACUGGAAUUCAUGGUGUAGCAGUGAAAUGCGUAGAGAUCAUGAGGAAGACCAGUGGCGAAGGCGGGUCUCUGGACAGUUCCUGACACUGAGACACGAAGGCCAGGGGAGCAAACGGGAUUAGAUACCCCCGUAGUCC